rnacentral:rRNA from 1 species
GACGUAGGAUGCAAGCGUUGUCCGGAAUCACUGGGCGUAAAGGGCGCGUAGGCGGCCUGAUAAGUAGGGGGUGAAAAUCCUGCGGCUUAACCGCAGGGCUGCCUUCUAAACUGUCAGGCUCGAGCACAGUAGAGGCAGGUGGAAUUCCCGGUGUAGCGGUGAAAUGCGCAGAUAUCGGGAGGAACACCAAUGCGAAGGCAGCUCGCUGGGACGGUACUGACGCUGAGACGCGAAAGCGUGGGGAGCAAACAGG